rnacentral:rRNA from 1 species
AGCUCCAAUAGCGUAUAUUAAAAUUGCUGCAGUUAAAAAGCUCGUAGUUGGAUUUCUGGUACGACAAACCUGGCCCGCGGUGUUUCCUCCGCGCGUCGCCUUCGGGCGGUCGCGUGGGGGGGCCCGUGAGUUUAGUCGGGUUCCAUGUCUGCCAUCUUCCCGGGGAAGGUUCGCUGCGAUUCACUUCGUUUGGCGUCCAUCAGAACCGGGUCAUUUACUUUGAAAAAAUUAGGGUGUUUAAAGCAGGCAAUGGCUCUGAAUACAAUAGCAUGGAAUAAUAACUUAGGACUCAGGUUCUAUUUUGUUGGUUAUCUUAGAAUCGAAGUAAUGAUUGAUAGGGAUAGUUGGGGGUGCUAGUAUUGAGCGGCCAGAGGUGAAAUUCUUGGAUUCGCUCAAGACUUCCUAAAGCGAAAGCAUUCACCAAGGAUGUCUUCUUUA